GACAUCGUAGCAAAGUGGUUAAUGCGACAGAUUCGAAUAUUAGUAAGCUAUGCUUAGUAAGCAUCUGUUCCUCUCUGAGGGCGCAGGUUCAAAUCCUGCCGGUGUCG